rnacentral:tRNA from 1 species
AGUCCGAUGGUGUAGUGGGCAAGCAUGGGCUUCGGAUCCGCUGGCGAGAGUUCGAAUCUCCCCGGACUU